GACUUUCAGCGCCUCGGCUCCAGCGCCAUGGCGCCUUCCAGGAAGUUCUUCGUUGUGAGGAACUGGAAGAUGAACCGGCAGAAGCACAAUCUUGGUGAGCUCAUCGGCACUCGGAACGCUGCCAAGGUGCCGGCUGACACUGAGGUGGUUCGUGCUCCCCCCACUGCCUAUAUCGACUUUGCCCGGCAGAAGCUAGAUACCAAGACUGCUGUGGCUGCACAGACCUGCUACAAAGUGACUAAUGGGGCCUUUACUGGGGAGAUCAGCCCUGGCAUGAUCAAAGACUGCGGAGCCACGUGGGUGGUCCUGGGACACUCAGAGAGAAGGCAUGUCUUUGAGGAGUCAGAUGAGCUGAUUGGGCAGAAAGUGGCCCAUGCUCUGGCAGAGGGACUCAGAGUAAUCGCCUGUAUUGGGGAGAAGCUAGAUGAAAGGGAAGCUGGCAUCACUGAGAAGGUUGUUUUCGAGCAGACAAAGGUCAUCGCAGAUAAUGCAAAAGACUGGAGCAAGGUCGUCCUGGCCUAUGAGCCUGUGUGGGCCAUUGGUACUGGCAAGACUGCAACACCCCCAACAGGCCCAGGAAGUACAUGAGAAACUCCGAGGAUGGCUUAAGUCCAACGUCUCUGAAGCCGUGGCUCAGAGCACCAGUAUCAUUUAUGGAGGCUCUGUGACUGGGGCAACCUGCAAGGAGCUGGCCAGCCAGCCUGACGUGGAUGGCUUCCUUGUGGGUGGUUCUUCCCUCAAGCCCGAAUUCGUGGCCAUCAUCAAUGCCAAAAAAUGAGCCCCAUGCAUCUUCCCUACCUUUCCUGCCAAGCCAGGGACUAAGCAGCCCAGAAGCCCAGUAACUGCCCCUCCCCUGCACAUGCUUCUGAUGGUGUCACCUGCUCCUUCCUGUGGCCUUAUCCAAACUGUACCUUCCUUUACUGUUUAUAUCUUCACCCUGUAAUGGUUGGGACCAGGUCAAUCCCUUCUCCACUU